AGCUAUCAAUGAUCCCAAGUAGAAAGCAGGUAUGGUAGAAGAGAUGCAAGCUUUAAGCAAGAAUAACACUUGAGAGUUGGUUCCUCUUCCUAUUGGAAAAAAACCUGUAGGGUGUAAGUGGGUAUUCACCAUUAAACAGAAAGCAGAUGGAAAAAUUGAACGGUACAAAGCAUGACCUUUGCUCUAAUAACAAAGAUGAAUUCCAUUCGAGUUAUUCUCUCAAGUGCAGCUAAUUUGGGCUGGCCUUUACAGUAGUUAGAUGUGAAGAAUACAUUUCUCCAUGGUGAUUUAGAGGAGGUAUAUAUGGAUGUACCACUAGGAUUCUCAUCUCAGUUUACAGCUGGGAACGUUUAUAGGUUGAAAAAGGCUUUACAUGGUUUGAAGCAGUCUCCUCGAGCUUGGUUUGACAGAUUCGUUGAGAUUCGGGUAUAAGCAAAGCAAUGCUGAUCACACAAUGUUCGUCAAAUGCCAUGCAAUUAAGGUAAGUGUGCUUAUAGUAUAUGUGGAUGACAUAGUUGUGGCAGGUAAUGAUGAGAAGGAAGUGACACAUUUGAAGAUGCUAUUGGGUAAGGAAUUUGAGAUCAAAGACCUUGGUCCGUUAAGAUACUUUCUUAGGAUUGAAGUUGCUAGAUCAGACAAAGGUAGCUUUGCUGAAAUUUACAGGUUAUAAAAUCAUAAAUAAUAUUUCAGACACUGGGAAGGCAUUUCUUAUUAUACUUAUCACAGAUAUUUUUUUAGGAUACCAUUCUGAAUCUGGUUGGCAGACUUUAUUAGAGAUAAUUAUUGAGCAUUAUGGCCUUGAGAUUGAUCAGUCUGCCGUAACCAUAUUCAUCUGCCUAAUUCCAGUUAUCAUUGAUGCAUGUGUGAAGCUUUGGUUGUUUAAAUUCCUCCCAAGGUUAUCCCCAAAGGUGGCAAAUAUUUUCCAGGAAAUGAAGAGGCACUAGAAAGAAUUUUUAUGAUUUCUGGAUUUUGUGGCCAUGACCAAACAAAUUCUGUGGCCAUCACCAGACAAAGGUACUACUAUAUAAUUAAUUUUUGUAUUCAUUCAAUGCUCUACAUGGAGUAUGGAGUAUGGAGUUAGGGAGACAGCUUUCGGUGUGGCUGAAAUGUAGCUUUGUUCUUCUUUCUUUCUUUCUUUCUCAGUUGCUUGGAUUUAGCGGCCAAUUCACAUUGUUUACUCAUAAUACAAAGUUUAAAAACCACUAUCUUUUUGUACCCAUUAUAGGGUGUUACAGAAUUCCAGAUUUCCCAAUUUCACA